CACACCGCCCGUCACACCAUGGGAGUUGGAUUCACUCGAAGGCGUUGAGCUAACCGCAAGGAGGCAGGCGACCACAGUGGGUUUAGCGACUGGGGUG
rnacentral:rRNA from 1 species